rnacentral:rRNA from 1 species
AUUGAACGCUGGCGGCAUGCCUUACACAUGCAAGUCGAACGGUAACAGGUCUUCGGAUGCUGACGAGUGGCGAACGGGUGAGUAAUACAUCGGAACGUGCCCGAUCGUGGGGGAUAACGAAGCGAAAGCUUUGCUAAUACCGCAUAAGAUCUACGGAUGAAAGCAGGGGACCGCAAGGCCUUGCGCGAACGGAGCGGCUGAUGGCAGAUUAGGUAGUUGGUGGGAUAAAAGCUUACCAAGCCGACGAUCUGUAGCUGGUCUGAGAGGACGACCAUCAAAACUUGUACUUAGAAACGGCCCAGACUCCUACGGAAGGCAGCAGUGGGGAAUUUUGGACAAUGGGCGAAAGCCUGAUCCAGCCAUGCCGCGUGCAGGAUGAAGGCCUUCGGGUUGUAAACUGCUUUUGUACGGAACGAAAAGACUCUUUCUAAUAAAGAGGGUCCAUGACGGUACCGUAAGAAUAAGCACCGGCUAACUACGUGCCAGCCGCCGCAGUAA